UAAGGAAUCUUCCGCAAUGGACGAAAGUCUGACGGAGCAAUGCCGCGUGCAGGAUGACGGCCUUCGGGUUGUAAACUGCUUUUAUAUGGGAAGAUUGUGACGGUACCAUAUGAAUAAGGACCGGCUAACUACGUGCCAGCAGCCGCGGUAAUACGUAGGGUCCAAGCGUUAUCCGGAAUCACUGGGCGUAAAGCGUGCGUAGGCGGGUAUUUAAGUGAGACGUGAAAUCCUGGGGCUCAACCCUAUGGACUGUAUCUCAUACUGGAUACCUAGAGGACGGCAGAGGCAAGUGGAAUUACUGGUGUAGCAGUGAAAUGCGUAGAUAUCAGUAGGAACACCAAUGGCGAAGGCAGCUUGCUGGGCCGUUUCUGACGCUAAGGCACGAAAGCGUGGGGAGCGAACAG
rnacentral:rRNA from 1 species